AACGAACGCUGGCGGCAGGCUUAACACAUGCAAGUCGAGCGCCCCGCAAGGGGAGCGGCAGACGGGUGAGUAACGCGUGGGAAUCUACCCAUCUCUACGGAAUAACGCAUGGAAACGUGUGCUAAUACCGUAUACGUCCUUCGGGAGAAAGAUUUAUCGGAGAUGGAUGAGCCCGCGUUGGAUUAGCUAGUUGGUGGGGUAAAGGCCUACCAAGGCGACGAUCCAUAGCUGGUCUGAGAGGAUGAUCAGCCACACUGGGACUGAGACACGGCCAAGACUCCUACGGGAGGAAGCAGUGGGGAAUAUUGGACAAGGGGCGCAAGCCUGAAACAGCCAUGCCGCGUGAGUGAUGAAGGCCCGAGGGUUGUAAAGCUCUUUCACCGGUGAAGAUAAUGACGGUAGCCGGAGAAGAAGCCCCGGCUAACUUCGUGCCAGCCGCCGCCGUAACAC
rnacentral:rRNA from 1 species